rnacentral:misc_RNA from 1 species
AGCUGGCUGGUGUGCUCCUGCCAUGCGCGAGAGACCGCCCGGUCGAUGCCUACGGAGACGUCGGUCGGCGAUCCCUCACCGGCCCACGCCAAGACCUCGAGGUCGCCACCGGGCGAAGCGAGGAUCACGCCCCGCCGGAAGCCGAACGUGGAACAGAGCUCCUCGAGGAUGACCUCCGCGGUUGUGCGGGCAUCGGAGUCGGUGUCCAGCUUCGCGACCAUCACGGACAGCCUGAAGAGGUCGUGCUUCUGCCUCCGGAGCUCGCGCUCGCUGACGGCCGAGAAGAACGC